GGAGCUUGCCAAUCCUGGGCUAGGCUGUUUGCUUUGCUACACGGAAGCCUCAGCAGCUCAGGGUAUGACUGGGCCGGGGGGUUCUAGGGAGCUGAAUCAAAAUGCAUUUUUUACAGAACACAACAGAGUUUAAGUUGGAGAAUUCACAAGGCCUGCCAAACCUGAAUCAUUGGAACAUUCAAACAACUGAAUUGUCACACAGAGCCCCGUAGAAUAAAGUGAUCGACAACCAGAGGGAGAGCUCCCAUGUUCCUCCUCGAGCAGUUUCUUGUUCCAAGAUACCUUUAAGUACACUGGGUCCACACGCAGAUAAAUAUGUUUCUCAAGGAUGCUGCAAAAAUCCAACUAUCCAGAGCCUAGACGAACUGGACUGCCAGAGAAGGUUCAUAAAGAGAGUUUACAAUUCUAAAAGGUAAUCCAAAGAGCUGAAACCAUUUCCCUCAAUCAAGUCCAAUUGUAAGUAAAUCCCAGAGUUUUGAAAGUCCAGCUAAACCUAGGCACAUGACCUUACCCCAAGUGAGGAUGUGUUAUAUUCAAAAAUAGUUCUACUGAUUCUUUACCAAGAACAGGAUAAAUGAUGUACCUUUCUCCUCCGCCUCAGUUGAGUUGGUAAAUACCCUAAUCCACAUCCAAUUUCAUAUGAAUGGACCCAGGUUACUUAUGUUGUUCCCCAAAGACCCCAUGUUAUAAGCAUUAUUUGCAAAAUAAAAUAACUUUAAGUGAAUAAAAUAAAAUAAUUAUAAAAGAAUCCAUUUACUAAGAAGUUUUUUAAAUAACCGGUGUGAUCACCUCUUUCAAAAACUGAAAACAGUCCCACGGAACUCUGGGUGGACCCAAGUGUGGCAAGGACUGAUUUGUUCCUGCCACAUACGUAUCUUCUCUGGGAUGAAAAUCCCACAAGCGUGGAGAUUCUCAGAGUGGUCAUGGCACCUGAGUGGACACUCGAGCCAGCAUCCAAGGCUCCAACAUUCAUUUCGACUUUCAUGUUCAUGAUUUCUGCCAUCUCCCUCUAUACCUCCACCAAUGCUAUUUUUAAAAUUUAUUCACUUUUGACAAACAUAUAAAUCUAUUGCAGAGGAAACUUUGUAUCAUUUCGUCAAAUGGAAAGCCAGUGUGUAUCCCUUUAUAGAAGAGAAAGAAUUUAUAAUAAAUGUAAUACAACCCAACCAAUGUUAUUAAAUUCCAGCUAGAUCCUGCUGUCCACAAAGGCUCUGAGCGGGAGCCAUGUUCUUUCUUUGUUAAAUAAUGAGCUUACAACUGGAAGAGAGAGAUUAAAGACAUACUAGUACCAAAUGGAAACUUUCUCCUUGGCUUUAUCGGAAGGAUUAAAACCGAAUGAAAAUGGAAUUGCUUCAACAUCAAAUCGCAAUAAUGAGAACUGGUGAAUGAUUUAUGAACCACCUAAAAAUCCUCUUCCAACACACCAGUGAGUGGUACGAGCUUCCGUACUGGGGAACUGGGCACGAGGAGACUUAAGAGACCUCUCUGCGGACUAGGUUGUAUCCCUGACUCCAGAGUACGGCACUCCUAAUGAUGACAGCCUACCGUGUACACACAUGGCAGUAGAGAAAUAAUCAACAGACUAGACUUUCUAUUCUUGGCCCCCAAAGCAAGAGGGCUCCUGUGCCAUGGGUUGUUAAGCCUGCAGAAGACAGCAGAAAAAUUAGACUGGCAGAUCCAACGUCAGCCUCCCUCCCAGGCCUGCCUUUGCCCACACCAUCGAGGACCAGCUCCGCGGCCGCUUACAUGCAGCUGCCUUUCUACAACCUAAGUUCAGAGUUUACUCAGUUACCAAUGAACUACUAUAGGAUAAAUACUGGAAGCAUAUCAUUCAAAUGCUUUAUUGGUCAAAAAGAUGGAUGCUUUUAUUAGUCCAACCUUUUUUGUAAUGGAGUGCCACUGAUGACCCAGCAUUAGCCUCAUUCCCUGCUAUUAAUCACACUUCUAAGAGCUCAUUUUGCCUUAAAAUCUUAAGAAAUUGCUAUAAUUUAAAGACAUGGUGUCUACAUAAUGGGAAAUGCCUCAUAAUUGUAUCAUUUCACAAAAUACAGUAUUUUUUAUGGGAACAAUGACCAUGAUGCUAAGGUAUUGCAAAAUGGGAAUCAUUUAUAUAUAUAAAAGAAAAGUGAGAUGUAAGCUGUCUUUGUAUUUGUGGCUUCCCACAUCUGUACACUUUAAUCAUUACCUUUGGGAGGCUGAUUAAUCGAAAAGCACAGGCAUAUACACCAUUUACGGAGUUAAAAGCAAAAUAACAUCCCCAAACAAAUGAAAAAUAUCAAUGAAAGGGAGAAAACCUAAUGUACAAAGAUAGAAGAGAUGUGAAAACACAUCGUGUGCUCUAAGGAAAUUUCAUCAGUGGUAUAUUCCUUAUUCAUCAUCUAUAAUUCCUGGGCCUUGUCUGUCCACGCCAAGAGAACUAAAGCAAGCUCUUCAAAUAAGUGACUUCAGGACAAACUACAGGUAUCUGCCAAUUUACUUUCAGUAUUAUUUCAAUAAUAUAAUGAUGCCCUUAGCUUGUAAGUCCUCAUCUCAUUAAACCACCCUUCAUGAACAUUAAGCACAGCCGAAUACUAUAAAAGAAAGCAUAUUUGAAAGAGUGUUUCAAAAUACAGAGCUAAAAUAAAUCUUUUUAAAAGUGACCCUUCAAUUUUUACUACUACACAAUUAGAACACAACAUAUGCAAAUCCUCAAAUCCUGCAUCCACACAAAAAUGGUGACAUUAUGUUACGUGAUGAACGAAGGGUAGGCUCCAAUCAGGCACAAAGAUUAUGAAUAGGUUUGGUGUUGAAUGGCUGUGGAGAACAGACCAUCAGUCAGCCUUAAGAGAAGAAUGUGGGAUCAUCCUACAGUUAGCAAGGGUCAACUCAGAAACUGUGCAACAGCCAGAGGCUGGAGACCAGGGUUAGGUGGGGCUGAGUAUCAGAGGGCUCAGUGAUUACAUCAUCGGAACUCCAGUGAGAGGCCCCUGCUAGCAGAGAUAAGCUCCCCCAUGUGGUGUCAGAUGGUCACCGUAAAUACCUAGUUCUUGCACCCCCUGCUCUGAAUUGUGAAAAGGCCAACUUCUCUCCCUAUUUCUCAAGAGCUAGAGGGAAGUGCUGACCCAGAGAGGAUAUUUAGGAAAAAGCUGUCAUAGACAUGCCAGGGAGAAGGGUAGAUUCUGAGGUGCCCAGGAUAGGUAGAGUGGGCACCAAUGGCAAGUUGUUGAUGCAUGCCUCCCUUCCCACACUGGGUGUGGGGGCCAUUGGAUGGCUAUAGAGUUGACAGUGGGACCAUCUGAUGUCUGGUGACCUCAGACUCUCUAAAGGACUUGGCAUCUCUGUGGUCAAUGUGAGCGGUGGGGAGACUGGACAUCUUUAGAGCAGAACCAUGGUCGGUAGAAAGGUAUGAGAUUUCUAAUGGAGACAACAGGGCCCGUUAGCAAUAUCGAUACCUGAAUUAAGAUUCUCACAGCCCAUGGAUAACCAACUGUUGGGUGGGGCCAGUGUAUUUACUGAAGAGAACUUUCCUUAGGAGACCAGUCCAGGUGCAAGCACUCGGUCUCAAGGCAAGGCUUUCCAGAGAGAACCACGUAGGCCUCCAACAGAUAAGAAGUUAACGCCUUUUACACUGCAACUGUGGGACAGACUGGCCUCAGCUACACAAAGCAUGGUGCUAUGGAGAGGAGCGUGGGUGUCACCAGGGAGCGUGUUACAAAUGCAAAUUCUCAGACCCAUUUCAUUUGUGACAAUCUAUAUUUUGAUCACACCCCCUCCAGGUGAGUCACAAGCACAUUAAAGUUUGAGAAGCCACCAGACCAGACAUACUCGAACGUGAUUUCCCACUCUGCCAACCUGAAGGUUUCAACAAGCCACCCAACCACUCUAUCUUUCCAUUUCCCCUUCCCUAAAACCAUACCAUUCUGCUUUUGGGUUCACUCACCCGUCUGAGCAGUAUUUAUUUUGUACCUAACAUGUGUCAGGACCCUGUAUUAAGUGUUGGGGCAACAAUAGGGAACAAAGACUGAUAAGAUCCAUCAACAUGGAGGUGACUGUCUUAUGGGGAAGACACACAUUAAUCAAUUAGUCAUAUAAAUAAGUGGAGAUUAGAACAGUGGUAAGUGCUACUGUGAAAAAUGCAUAGUGCUCUUAGAGCACGCAAAGCUAAUAUAUGUAAAGUGCCUUGUAUGUAGUAGGUAUUCAAUAAAUCACAGUGAUUAUGAGUAGCCCAUAAAACCCAGAUCUUUGGGAAGCCACUAAAAAACUCCCAAGUGCAGAAUACUCUUCUCCCACCAUAAAACGAGCCUAAAGUAGGACUGUGUUGUCAGUUAAAUUAUUUUUUAGCAUGUUUUCCUGCUUUUUCCUAGCUCUAUGAGGAAUACGACGCCCUUAAAGUCAACAUUUCUUCUAAUGCCAACUUAGAGAACAACAUUAACUUUCCAGGUUAUUGUUAAGAAUUAGCUCUUGUUUACCGAGUUGUACUUACAGGCAAAAUGCAGAGCAGGGCAGAGGGUGAUACUGCCUAUCAGCCUUGUUCUAAGCAUCUAUUGAUUAUCAUUUGAAAGCCUGGAUACACAAAGACAAAUCUUCAUUUGGCUUUCAAGCAGCAUUUCUUUGUAUAUGUAGUUUGCUGAAGUCUAGAAAAAGUCCACGCUAAUCACCGCAGGUAGGAUUAGCAACCCAUACCUUAUACAGUGGACACCACUUGUUAAUUAUUAGUGUACCUAGCACAUGUCUAUCCAGUGGGGAAGCUGGACUGAACAGGAAUGGGAGAACGUCCACAACCAAACCCACAGCACUGAGGAUGCCCGCCCUAGGAGUUGAAUGACCAGAGUCCGCCCCAUUGAAUAGGAAGCUCUCAUAGCCUUACAGCUGGGUGUGCUCAAGUGUUCCUUAAAACAGCCCUCCGAAGUCUGCCAGGCCUUUCCUUUGCUCAUUCCCCAUGAAUUCACGAACUUCAAAUAAAAAUUUGAAAUAUGGUGUAAUAGCUCUCCCUGUUUGUACAAGUGAGGGGGUUUUUCCAAAAGCUGGCUUCCUUGCAACAGGUGGAUAUGGAUGAUGGGAGACUUCUGACCUCCUUUGUAUCAGAAUGACGCUGAUCAGAGAAUAGAAAACAACAACUGAUCUGAAAAAGAGAAGUAUGUGCAUGUGAAAUGUGGUUCCUGUUAAGACUUUCAGGUCUUAACAUACAGGAGCUGAAUGAUACAAACAUCAGCUCACACCUCAGAGCAUUCGUUUGAAUUUUUGUAACUGGAUGCGUUGUUAGAUGGGCUAGAACAGAGCCUCUGGCUGCUGGGCUUACUGGUCAAAAAUGGGUGGUUUCCAUUUAUUAUUGCCUGGAAUAAGAGACAUCUUUAGGCCAACUGUAAAAGACACUUUACUACCGGAAACAAACUAAGGGUUGUUGGAGGGGUGGUGGGUGGGGGGGUGGGGAAUGCGGUAACUGGGAGACGGGCAGUAGGGAGGGUAUUUGAUGGAAUGACCCCUGCGUGUUUCAUGCAACUGAUGAAUCACUGAAUUCUCCCCUGAAACUAAUGAUACACUAUGCUAACUAAAUUGCACUUAAACAGAAAGAUAAAUAAAAUGUCUAAAAAGGCUAUAUCUUUAGGAUAAUUUCUGUUGGCUCCAACUACUAAAAAUGCAAAGUAGGAGGGAAAAAGAUAUCCCAUAGAUGACUUUUGGCAGUAUUCUGGAGACCCUGUGCUUGCCACAAGGCAGGGAAAGAGAUGCUCCUGGGAAACCAGAGAGGCUGCUAACCAGGCUACAAUGCACAAGACAGCUCCCACGUCUAGUCCCCUGUGCCAAAAGCGUCACGGUUGAGAAAAAUGUUCUAUGUGCAUUUGUACUGUUUUUUUUUAUGGGAUCAAAGCAAUGAGUCCUAUUUCUUGUUCAAUAAUAAAUUUAUAACGUGCCUUAAAA